AUGGCAAUUGUCCAUACUUACGGGAAGCCUGACAUCUUCUUGACCAUGACCUGCAACCCUAACUGGGAAGAGAUAACGAAUGAGUUGUUUCCUGGUCAGACAGCGCAAGACCGACCUGAUCUUGUGGCUCGUGUGUUCCAUGGCAAGCUAGAGGCUAUGAAAGAGAUGUUGUUCAAGAAGAAUAUCCUGGGUGUUGUUGUUGCACAUGUAUACGUAGUCGAGUUCCAAAAGAGGGGCCUC
rnacentral:rRNA from 1 species